rnacentral:rRNA from 1 species
GAUGAACGCUGGCGGCGUGCCUAAUACAUGCAAGUCGAGCGAACAGAUGAGGAGCUUGCUCCUCUGACGUUAGCGGCGGACGGGUGAGUAACACGUGGAUAACCUACCUAUAAGACUGGGAUAACUUCGGGAAACCGGAUCUAAUACCGUAUAAUAUAUUGAACCGCAUGGUUCAAUAGUGAAAGACGGUUUUGCUGUCACUUAUAGAUGGAUCCGCGCCGCAUUAGCUAGUUGGUAAGGUAACGGCUUACCAAGGCAACGAUGCGUAGCCGACCUGAGAGGGUGAUCGGCGACACUGGAACUGAGACACGGUCCAGACUCCUACGGGAGGCAGCAGUAGGGAAUCUUCCGCAAUGGGCGAAAGCCUGACGGAGCAACGCCGCGUGAGUGAUGAAGGUCUUCGGAUCGUAAAACUCUGUUAUUAGGGAAGAACAAAUGUGUAAGUAACUAUGCACGUAUUGACGGUACCUAAUCAGAAAGCCACGGCUAACUACGUG